GGAGUUUGGACCGUGUCUCAGUUCCAAUGUGGGGGACCUUCCUCUCAGAACCCCUACUGAUCGUCGGCUUGGUGGGCCGUUACCUCACCAACUACCUAAUCAGAAGCGUGCUCAUCCUAUACCCUCACGUUUCAUCACACAGAGAUGCCUCCAUAUGACACAUAAAGUUUUAAUCCGCCUUUCAGCGGGCUAUCCCUUGGUAUAGGACAGAUUGCACACCUGUUACGCACCCGUGCGCCGGUCGCCAUCAGUCGGUAUUGCUACCAACCAUGCUGCCCCUCGACUUGCAUGUGUUAGGCCUGUCGCUAGCGUUCAUC
rnacentral:rRNA from 1 species